rnacentral:rRNA from 1 species
AUUGUACGCUGGCGGCAGGCCUAACACAUGCAAGUCGAGCGGAGCGGCGGACGGGUGAGUAAUGCCUGGGAAUCUGCCUGGUAGUGGGGGAUAACGUCCGGAAACGGGCGCUAAUACCGCAUACUAUCAGAUGAGCCUAGGUCGGAUUAGCUAGUUGGUGGGGUAAAGGCCUACCAAGGCGAGGAUCCGUACCUGGUCUGAGAGGAUGCCCGGCCACACUGGAACUGAGACACGGUCCAGACGCCUACGGGAGGCAGCAGUGGGGAAUAUUGAACAAUGGGCGCAAGCCUAAUACAGCCAUGCCGCGUGUAUGAAGAAGGCCGUCGGGGUGUAAAGUACUUUCAGCGAGGAGGCGUUACUCGCAGAAGAAGCACCGGCUAACUCCGUGCCAGCAGCCGCGGUAAUUC